rnacentral:rRNA from 1 species
UACGUAGGAUGCUAGCGUUGUCCGGAAUUACUGGGCGUAAAGCGUGCGCAGGCGGUUCGUUGUGUCUGAUGUGAAAGCCCCGGGCUCAACCUGGGAAUGGCAUUGGAAACUGGCGAGCUAGAGUGUGGCAGAGGGGGGUGGAAUUCCGCGUGUAGCAGUGAAAUGCGUAGAGAUGCGGAGGAACACCGAUGGCGAAGGCAGCCCCCUGGGCUGACACUGACGCUCAGGCACGAAAGCGUGGGGAGCAAACAGG